rnacentral:rRNA from 1 species
GGCGUAAAGCGUCCGCAGGGGGCUCAUCAAGUCUGCUGACAAAGGUCGGAGCUCAACUCCGGUUCGGCAGUGGAAACUGGUGGGCUAGAGGGCGACAGGGGUAGAGGGAAUUCCCAGUGUAGCGGUGAAAUGCGUAGAGAUUGGGAAGAACACCGGUGGCGAAAGCGCUCUACUGGGUCGCACCUGACCCUCAGGGACGAAAGCUAAGGUAGCGAAAGGGAUUAGAUACCCCUGUAGUCUUAGCCGUAAACGAUGGAUACUAGGCGUGGUUGGUAUCAACCCCAGCCGUGCCGAAGCUAACGCGUUAAGUAUCCCGCCUGGGGAGUACGCACGCAAGUGUGAAACUCAAAGGAAUUGACGGGGGCCCGCACAAGCGGUGGAGGAUGUGGUUUAAUUCGAUGCAACGCGAAGAACCUUACCAGGGCUUGACAUCCCGCGAAUCCCAGUGAAAGCUGGGAGUGCCUUCGGGAGCGCGGAGACAGGUGGUGCAUGGCUGUCGUCAGCUCGUGUCGUGAGAUGUUGGGUUAAGUCCCGCAACGAGCGCAACCCUCGUCCUUAGUUGCCAGCCUUAAGUGGGGCACUCUAGGGAGACUGCCGGUGACAAACCGGAGGAAGGCGAGGAUGACGUCAAGUCAGCAUGCCCCUGAUGCUCUGGGCGACACACGUCCUACAAUGGUCGGGACAAAGGGCAGCGAGCUCGCGAGAGUCAGCAAAUCCCAGCAAACCCGGCCUCAGUUCAGAUUGCAGGCUGCAACUCGCCUGCAUGAAGGAGGAAUCGCUAGUAAUCGCU